GAUUUAUAUUUGAUUAUGUUUGUUGUUUCUAACGUUUGUUUUUUUUUUUUAAUUUGAUCAUUAUUGUUGGGCUGAAUGAAACUGGACUUAACGUGUUGAUGGUCUAAAUAAAGUUGGGCUCAAGUGUAUCUGGGCUGAGUGAAGUUGCACAUAAGGUGGAGAAGGUGCCACUCAUCGAUAUAGUCAGCAUGGAACUUUAGAGCAGAUUACUUCAAAAUAUGGUUUUGAAACUUUAGAGCAGAUUACUUCAAAAUAAUUAAAUGUUUGUUGUUACGAGAACAGCACCAUGAUAUAUAUUUAAUUAUGUAAAUACUAUUUUCAUACAUUUAUGUUAUUUAACUGUAUAUUGUUUGUCGUUACGAGAACAACACCAUGAUAUAUAGUUUUGACAUCUAUUUUUUUUCCUUGA